UGAUGGCACAUUACUCAUGUGGGAUCAUGGU
rnacentral:piRNA from 1 species